UACGGAGGGUGCGAGCGUUGUCCGGAUUAUUGGGUUUAAAGGGUGCGUAGGCGGCCCGUUAAGUCCGGGGUGAAAGCCCGUUGCUCAACAACGGAACUGCCCUGGAUACUGACGGGCUUGAGUACAGACGAGGUUGGCGGAAUGGACCGAGUAGCGGUGAAAUGCAUAGAUACGGUCCAGAACCCCGAUGCGAAGGCAGCUGACUAGGCUGUUACUGACGCUGAGGCACGACAGCGUGGGGAGCGAACAGG
rnacentral:rRNA from 1 species